CCUACGGGAGGCAGCAGUGGGGAAUCUUGCGCAAUGGGCGGAAGCCUGACGCAGCAACGCCGCGUGCGGGAAGAAGGCCUUAGGGUCGUAAACCGCUUUCAGGGGGGACGAAGCUUCCGGGGUUAAUAGCCUACGGGGUGACGGUACUCCCAAAAGAAGGUCCGGCUAACUACGUGCCAGCAGCCGCGGUAAUACGUAGGGACCGAGCGUUGUCCGGAAUCAUUGGGCGUAAAGAGCGUGUAGGCGGCUUGGUAGGUCUCGUGUGAAAUCCCGCGGCUCAACCGCGGAUCCGCACGGGAAACCCCUAAGCUCGAGUCCGGAAGAGGAGAGUGGAAUUCCUGGUGUAGCGGUGAAAUGCGCAGAUAUCAGGAAGAACACCCGUAGCGAAGGCGGCUCUCUGGGACGGUACUGACGCUGAGACGCGAAAGCGUGGGGAGCAAACAGGAUUAGAUACCCUGGUAGUCCACGCCGUAAACGAUGGGCGCUAGGUGUGGGAGGUGUCGACUCCUCCCGUGCCGAAGCUAACGCAUUAAGCGCCCCGCCUGGGGAGUACGGCCGCGAAGGCUAAACGUCAAAGGAAUUGACGG
rnacentral:rRNA from 1 species